rnacentral:rRNA from 1 species
CAAGUCGAGCGCGAAAAUCCCUUCGGGGAUGUGUAGAGCGGCGGACGGGUGAGUAAUACAUGAGAAUCUGCCUUUUAGUGAAGAAUACCUUCGAGAAAUUGAAGUUAAUACUGCAUAAGUCCCUUCGGGGAGAAAGAUGGCCUCUUUGCUGUCGCUAAAAGAUGAGCUCAUGCACUAUUAGUUAGUUGGUGGGGUAAAGGCCUACCAAGACGAUGAUGGUUAGCCGGCCUGAGAGGGUGUACGGCCACAUUGGGACUGAGAUACGGCCCAGACUCCUACGGGAGGCAGCAGUGAGGAAUCUUGCGCAAUGGGGGAAACCCUGACGCAGCGACGCCGCGUGGAGGAUGAAGGUUUUAGGAUUGUAAACUCCUGUUAAGCGGGAAGAAAGAUACUGGUUUAAUAGACCAGGAUGAUGACGGUACCGCUAGAGAAAGCACCGGCUAACUUCGUGCCAGCAGCCGCGGUAAUACGAGGGGUGCUAACGUUAUUCGGAUUUAUUGGGCGUAAAGGGUGCGUAGGUGGCGCUAUAAGUCUGUUGUUAAAUUUUCCGGCCUAACCGGAAGCUCGCAAUGGAUACUGUAAUGCUAGAGGGUGGAAGAGAGAAGUGGAAUUCUUGGAGUAGCGGUAAAAUGCGUAGAUCUCAAGAGGAACACCAAUGGCGAAGGCAGCUUCUUGGUCCAAUCCUGACACUGAGGCACGAAAGCGUGGGGAGCAAACAGGAUUAGAUACCCUGGUAGUCCACGCUGUAAACGAUGAUCACUGGAUGUCGGUUUUGCUUUGCAAGAUCGGUGUCGUAGCUAACGCGCUAAGUGAUCCGCCUGGGGAUUACGGUC